CCUACGGGGGGCAGCAGUCGAGAAUCAUUCACAAUGGGGGAAACCCUGAUGGUGCGACGCCGCGUGGGGGAAUGAAGGUCUUCGGAUUGUAAACCCCUGUCAUGUGGGAGCAAAUUAAAAAGAUAGUACCACAAGAGGACGAGACGGCUAACUCUGUGCCAGCAGCCGCGGUAAUACAGAGGUCUCAAGCGUUGUUCGGAAUCACUGGGCGUAAAGCGUGCGUAGGCGGUUUCGUAAGUCGUGUGUGAAAGGCGCGGGCUCAACCCGCGGACGGCACAUGAUACUGCGAGACUAGAGUAAAGGAGGGGGAACUGGAAUUCUUGGUGUAGCAGUGAAAUGCGUAGAUAUCGAGAGGAACACUAGUGGCGAAGGCGGGUUACUGGACAUUAACUGACGCUGAGGCACGAAGGCGAGGGGAGCGAAAGGGAUUAGAUACCCCGGUAGUC
rnacentral:rRNA from 1 species